CCUUUGGAGUAUUAUAUCAAUGUUAGUAGUUCUACGGAACAAGGACAGAUACAAUGAAAAGGAA
rnacentral:sRNA from 12 species